rnacentral:rRNA from 1 species
UACGGGGGGGGGCAAGCGUUGUUCGGAAUUACUGGGCGUAAAGGGCGCGUAGGCGGUUUGCUAAGUUGGAUGUGAAAACUCUGGGCUUAACCCAGAGCCUGCAUCCAAAACUGGCAAACUUGAGUACUGGAGGGGAAAGCGGAAUUCCUGGUGUAGCGGUGAAAUGCGUAGAUAUCAGGAGGAACACCGGUGGUGUAGACGGCUUACUGGACCAUAACUGACGCUGAGACACGAAAGCGUGGGUAGCAAACAGG